UAUUACUCUAUGGUUGUGAAAGUUGUUAAAAUUGUUCAUAGUGGGGAUAGGCUGCUUGUUAGAUGAACCAGGAAUUUCUAGUUUUUUCAAUUGGCUUCUAUUAAAUUUAUUAUGCUAUAUAUCUCUCAGUGCCCAUCUCCAUGCUAACAUUUCAGUUGCUUUCUCCAUAUUACAAAUCUUUCCACUUCUGUCCUUUCUGCAUUACUCCACUGGAUCACUCUCUAUGCCUUUUCUCCAAUUUCUCUUGUCUCUUUCUGCUUGCACGUAAGCAGAUGGCUCCUGAGGAUGACACUCAGAACCAAGAGGGUAAUAAAGAAAACAAGCCAAAGAGUGGAGGAGGAGGAGGCAGACGAAGAGGAGGCCAGAGGCAUAAAGGAAAGUCAAUGAGCAGCUCGACGGCACCGACAUCUAGUGGUGGAGGCAGCUAAACAGAAACCUUUAUUGCUCCUUUCCUGAAUGUAGGGGAGUUGCUUUUUAUUAAGUAGCACUAAGUACAAUGCCAGGCUGCUGUGAUGCAUUUUUCUCAGGAAUGCUGGUGUUCCCCAGGGUUUCUUUCUCUCUUAAUUUCGUUCACAAUGGCAACAGCCAUGUUGGUGGAUGAUUACACUGCUAUUCAUGCUUUCAGACCUGUGGGAAAGAUUUUCAGUAAGGGGCCUUUCUGACAAUGUGUAGUGUGAUGCAUGAUGGAAAAUGCCUCUCUCGUUUAUUUUUUAGAAAAUCCCCAAAAACUACAACGUUAUAAAAAUAGUCCGUUGUUGAAGAUUUUUAAAUUGUGGAGUAAUGAAAAAUAAAACUAAAACCAGUUUUAAAUCGGCUUAGUUGAUAAAUCCAAUAAUGGACAAAAUAUAAAUGCUUACUUUGUUAUUCCACAAAAUAUACAAUGACUCCGUAGUACACAAUAUAUUGCUAUACAGCCUAAAUUCAGAUUAGAACGUGACAGUUUUUUAUGUUUUUUUUUUUUAAUAUAUAUAUUUUUUCCUUUCACUUUAGUCCAGCAUAAAAUUGUAGGGAUGAGGAAACCUUUACACUUAACAUAUUUUUGUGUAAAAUGUUUUCAUAAGCGAUUCAGCAAGGAAAAAUUGCCAGACUAGUCACGUAUUCCAUAAACCAAGUGCACAAAAAGAUACGUCGCCACUUUGGAAGCACAAAUAGCAUUAAUGUGGCUAUCUCAUGUUCCUCUGUUAAGCUUACUAACGCUGUCCACCUCAAAAGUGAUUCUGUUCUAGGAAUGUUUUUGUAAUUUCAGUGUACUUGAUUUUGUUACAGAGAAUGGUUUAAACUAUUUGUCAAUGAAAGGGAAUAAUGGUGGGCUGUGAGCUUAUAGAAUCCCUAUGGAAAAUAAUUUUGAUCAAGGCUAAAUUAUGAAAAUGAGACAAAAGCACUUUAAACGGACUACAUAAUUUGUCUACCGAAUUUUAAAAAAUCAAUUUUUUAUAGAGCAUGUUUCUUUUAUAGCUUUGAAUUCACUUACUGAUUAAAGAUUCCUCUAGUCUACUAUUAGAGCACCAGAUACAGAGACUCUCAAUGGAGGGGAAAACCUAAAAGAUUAAAGAGAUGGGUUACUUCUACGGUCUGCGUACACCUUUCAAUGGAUGUCUUGUUCUGUUUUAUUAGACUGUAUUGUGGAACUCCAGUGUAGUCUAAUCCUCAUGCUGGUUAACCAGAAACAUGAGGAACAGCCCUUUUAUUUUUGUGGAAUAAAUACAGUGGUCCAUCUGACCUUGCACCGUGAAAUGUACAAGGUUUUGUUUUAGUGAUUUUUUUUUUUUUCUCUCUUUUAAACAAUGUGUUUGAUUAACAUGUCCUUUUAAUUGCACAUUUUUUUUUUGUAAGAAAACCUGCACAGUCAUUCACUGUGAACAUUGCUUAGUUAUUCCAUGGCUUGUGACGUGUAGCCCGUCCAUGUGUAUUGAAUUGAGUUUUGAUCUUGCAUUUUAAGUGUGGAGUACAGUAAAUCAUCCUUUGGCUGGGAAUCAUGGGUAACGUCAAGCCUUCCUGAGGGGCCAUGGUGGUAAUUCUAGGAGUUGAAGGCCGCUGUGUGUGAGCACUUUAGAAAUUCUCCCUCAGCUGUCCAGAAAUGAUAAAACUGGACCAGUCCACUUGGGUUAUGAUGAGAGAAUGAGGGCCCAGUGACCAGCUCGCUGUACUAAGUGCUACUGAAAUAACAUAAAAGCAGCAAGAGUUCUUUUGGUUUUGUUUUCUAUUUUUAUUGUCAGAAUCUGACCAGUAGCAAAAAAAAAAAAAAACUUAAAAAUGAAAAUGAAGUAGUUUAGGGGUGAGAUUUGUUUGAAAUUAUUUGUCAAAUUACUGCACCAAAAAAGAAGAAGAAAAAAAUCUGAAAAGUUGUACAGUAUAUGUUUUUGGGUCUAAUUAUUUUCCAGAGCUUUUUUUUCAGACCAGUAGACAAAUGCUAAAAAAGUACAUAAAAAAAGUUUAAAAUAUGCAUAGAAAAAAACAAUAAUGCCACUUUGUUUUCUGUUUUUAAAUGUAGCUACAAGUUAAUUUUUUCUGGCACACAAGACGUUUAUGUAUGAAGAAGAAACAAAUGUGCUCUGCUGUAUAUGAUUUCUUCUUGACUAAUACUUGUAGUUAUAUUUAAAAAAAAAAAAAAAAACAAUGAAUGAAAACUGAAUUCAAUCUGUAGUUGAGUGUUCUUUUUUUCCUGAUCUGUGUUUCAUCACUUCUUCAUCUGAACAGGAAAACAUCUUUUUGAUUUUUUUUUUCAUAUCCGAAAAAAAAAAAAAACAAGACUAUAACUGAACUUUAAAUAUUAUUUUUUUUCUACGUUUCUUACAUCCUAUAGCUGAAAUUCACAAUUAACAUUCACAUCAAGGAAAUAGUAAGUCUGUUUUUUAUUUAUUUACCAGUCAGACAUUAAUGUCCAAUAAACUUGAUGAAUGGCUAAAAAAAAGCCAACUUUUUGUUUUUCAUAUUUGUAGGACAUCUCCAAAUUCAACAGACAGUAAAAUAUUCUGUUUUUAUUUUUUAUUGUUUAGAAAGGUUUGCAAAAAUCAACAGUACCUGAUCUUGCUAUUACUUUCUCUUCACCCAGUGCUGGGCUUUCUCAGGACAGUCUCCUUAAUCUUGAUAGACUGGUUGCAGAGUGUAACGUUGUGCUGCUUUUGUGUGUUUGUGUGUGUGGUUGGCAGUGAAGGCAAUGGAAAUGGGCAGCAUGGCACUGCUCAGAUGUAUUUGUAAUUUCCAAGGUACUGCCCUGUACCAUUCUUUUGUAAGGAAUCUGGAUUUAAGGACCUGAAAUAGAAGGAUAUCACAGACAUUAAAACUUGGUAAGGGAACAAUCUGUGUUACAGGUUCAGAAUUAGCAAUAUCCUAUGACAAGCCGAAUUAACAUGUAGUGAUAUCUCUUUAUUAUAUAUAAAAAAAAAUAAAAAGAAAACUGCUGAAGUGAAAGUAAUGUAAUGUAGGUGCAUAAGAACGUACAUGUAUACACGUGUAUGGCUGCACUCAUACUUUUUACUUUGUAGUAUAUAAAUUAUAAUCACUAAAUGUAUUCUGAUUAUUCAGUAUGAUAUAAUAUGUAUAAUCUAUCAUAGUAAAAAGAAUGAAAAUAUUUAGAUAAGAAGAAAAAUAUUAGUAAUAAAAAAAGAGGUGGAAUAGCGGUAAACAUGUUAUAUUGUAACUGAUACAUGUUGCAAACACAAAUACUAUACCAAGCCCUCGGCCAUUGCUGCCGUUCAUUCGUCUUUGCAUUCCACAUAUACGCUAUUUGACUUCUGCAUUUCGAGUGCUCAUUUAAUAUUUCAAUGGUUGCUGGAAUCAGUUUUUUUUUUUUUAGCUCUGAUUCCGAUUUCUCUGGAAACGUAAAGACAUGGAGUCGAUUGUUACUUUUAAAUCUGAGCGGAAACAGAAGACUGUGUUUGAGUUCAGCUCUGCACAGGCACCGUUUAAAUGCGGUAGAACUAGGCCCACUUUGCAGGAGUCGUUGGAAGGAAAUUAAGGAGUGUAUGGAUUUGGCCGGUUUCAAGUAUGAUCUCCUUCUGUUUGAGGUGUUUUCUUUAUCCCAUAGUUUAUUAAACAUCACUGUUAAACUUCUAGACUUUGAGGGAUUCAGUCUUUACAGGAAGUAAGCAAGAUCUGGUAUCUUUUUUUUCAUUUAUAAAAAAGAUAUACUGCUAAAAAUGUUACUAGGUUGGGGGUGCCUUCUAACAUUUAGAGAUAUCUGACAAUGCAGUCUACUUUUUAAGAUAUUUGAGACCUGUUUCUCUCUUUUUUUAUAUUUUAAAAUAUCUGAAAUGCAUUUUCAGACAUCUCAAAUUGACCCUGCAUGUAUUUUCAGCUAUCUGAAAUGCAUUUCGUGAUAGCUGAAAAUCACUUCCUAUAAAAUGUCAUACUCACUGUAAGUCUCAUUGAAAGAAUAUUUUAAAAUACAUUUGAAACGCAUUUCAACAAUGUUAAAAUGAGCAGAGGAUAAUUCUAGAGAUAUCUUGACCUGCAUUUCAGGUGGCUGAAAAUGAACAGGAAGCUAUUUUUGAGAACUAAAAAUGUGUGUUGUAGAUGCCUAAAAAUGAUUAGAUAUCAUGGAAUAGUUUAAUUUGUUUUUAAAUGUAUCUUUAAACUUGUACAAGAUAUCUUAAAAUAAUAUUGAGGGUGUCCUGAAAGACAUUUUUAGAUAUCAUGAAAUGGGUUUGAGAUCGAAGAAUGUUUAUAGAUAUCUUCAUUUUGAUGAAUAUGCUUUCUGUCCAUGUUCACGUAUGUGAAAUACAUUUCAAGAUAUCUCAAACUAACCUCCUGCUCAGUUUAACAUAUCUGAAAGUCUCACUGAAUAUACUGGCAGUUUUGCAGGAAGUCAUUUUGAGAGAUGACUUCACAUGAAUAGUGCGUCAUUCCGAGAUUUCUUGAAAUCUUUACAUAUUUUGAGGUAUCUCUGAAUGUUGAUUUGGCUUGCUUAUUGCAUCCCAGUAACAUAGUAGAUGCUGUUUACAUUUUCAGUUCCUCUUGGAAGUCUGUUACCAAUUCUGUGAUUUUCUGACCUGAAUCCAUCCUCCUCUUGAGAGCUAUACUAUUCAGUAACAAAAUACAGGGCGGGCCAACAGUAGGUAAUGCAGUAUUUACUAAUCUUUACCUAUAAACUUCUUUUUUUGGGGGCCAGUAAAUGAGAAGGAUUUUGAGAGGAAGGUCCACACAGUACAUAAAUCGAAGGAGUACAUCUCGCAGGUAUUUAUGGAUAUUGAUGCUCAGCAGAAUUUGUGUGUCACAGUGUGGGGGACAGGGACCAGGAAUGUUGAUGGGAGGACAUUUUGAGCACCUAAGAGACUAAAGACCCCAAACAGUACUGAACAAUGGCUGACCCUGUGCGCGGACCUCUUAA